rnacentral:rRNA from 1 species
UACGGAGGGUGCAAGCGUUAUCCGGAUUCACUGGGUUUAAAGGGUGCGUAGGUGGGCAGGUAAGUCAGUGGUGAAAUCUCUGGGCUUAACUCAGAAACUGCCAUUGAUACUAUCUGUCUUGAAUACCGUGGAGGUCAGCGGAAUAUGUCAUGUAGCGGUGAAAUGCUUAGAUAUGACAUAGAACACCAAUUGCGAAGGCAGCUGGCUACACGAAUAUUGACACUGAUGCCCGAAAGCGUGGGGAUCAAACAGG